GACGAACGCUGGCGGCGUGCCUAAUACAUGCAAGUCGAACGCAUUUUCUUUCCCCGUACCUUGCUACACCGAAAUAUAUUUCGUGUCGAACGGGUGAGUAACACGUGGGUAACCUGCCCCUCAUCGAGGGAUAACACUUGUAAACAGGUCCUUAUACCCCGUAAUUCCAUUUACCGCAUGGUAAUUGGAUGAAAGGCGCUUUUGCGUCACUGAUUGAUGCACCCUCGGUGCAUUAGCUUGUUGGUGUGGUAACGGCCUACCAAGGCUGCGAUGCAUAGCCGACCUGAGAGGGGGAGCGGCAACACUGGGACUGAGAGACGGCCCAGAAUCCUACGGGAGGGAGCAGUAGGGAAUCUUCGGCGAUGGAAGCAAGUCGGAACGAGCAACGCCGCGGGAUUGAAGAAGGUUUUCGGAUCGUAAAACUCUGUUGUUAGAGAAGAACAAGGAUGAGAGUGGAAAGUGCAUCACAUGACGGUAUCUAACCAAAAAGCCACGGCUAACUACGUG
rnacentral:rRNA from 1 species